CCUACGGGUGGCAGCAGUGGGGGAUAGUGCACAAUGGGGGAAACCCUGAUGCAGCGACGCCGCGUGAGUGAAGAAGGAUUUCGGGAUGUAAAGCUCUAUCAGCAGGGAAGAAAAUGACAGUACCUGACCAAGAAGCCCCGGCGAACGACGGGCCAGCAGCCGCGGUAAGACGUAGGGGGCAAGGGUUAUCCGGAUUGACUGGGUGUAACGGGAGCGGAGACGGUUCUGUAAGGCUGGAGUGAAAGCCCGGGGCCCAACCCCGGGACUGCUUUGGAAACGGUGUAACUGGAGUACAGGAGGGGCUGGCGGAAUUCCUGUUGUAGCGGUGAACUGCGUCGAUAUCAGGAGGCACCCCGGCGGCGAAGGCGGCCUGCUGGACUGCACCUGACGUUGAGGCUCG
rnacentral:rRNA from 1 species